UACGUAGGGUGCGAGCGUUAAUCGGAAUUACUGGGCGUAAAGCGUGCGCAGGCGGUUUUGUAAGCCAGAUGUGAAAUCCCCGGGCUUAACCUGGGAAUGGCAUUUGGGACUGCAAGGCUGGAGUGCGGCAGAGGAGACUGGAAUUCCUGGUGUAGCAGUGAAAUGCGUAGAUAUCAGGAGGAAUACCGAUGGCGAAGGCGGAUCUCUGGGCCAUUACUGACGCUGAGGAGCGAAAGCGUGGGGAGCGAACAGG
rnacentral:rRNA from 1 species